rnacentral:rRNA from 1 species
UACGAAGGGGGCGAGCGUUGUUCGGAAUUACUGGGCGUAAAGGGCGCGUAGGCGGCCGAGCAAGUUAGAUGUGAAAGUCCUGGGCUUAACCUGGGGACUGCAUUUGAUACUGCUUGGCUUGAAUUCGGGAGAGGAUAGCGGAAUUCCCAGUGUAGAGGUGAAAUUCGUAGAUAUCGGGAGGAACACCGGUGGCGAAGGCGGCGACCUGGGUCGAGACUGACGCUGAGGCGCGAAAGCGUGGGGAGCAAACAGG